AGCGAACGCUGGCGGCAUGCUUAACACAUGCAAGUCGCACGGGCGGGGGCAACUCCGUCAGUGGCGGACGGGUGAGUAACGCGUAGGAAUCUAUCCUUGAAUGGGGGACAACCGUGGGAAACUACGGCUAAUACCGCAUGAUGCCUGAGGGCCAAAGACGAAAGUCGUUUGAGGAGGAGCCUGCGUCUGAUUAGGUAGUUGGUGGGGUAAAGGCCUACCAAGCCCUACGAUCAGUAGCUGGUCUGAGAGGAUGAUCAGCCACAUUGGGACUGAGACACGGCCCAAACUCCUGCGGGAGGCAGCAGUGGGGAAUAUUGGACAAUGGGCGCAAGCCUGAUCCAGCAAUGCCGCGUGGGUGAAGAAGGUCUUCGGAUUGUAAAGCCCUUUUGGCGGGGACGAUGAUGACGGUACCCGCAGAAUAAGCUCCGGCUAACUUCGUG
rnacentral:rRNA from 1 species